ensembl:lncRNA
AAGGGUGGGUCGGGGAGACUGCAACAGCUCCUCCGAUCACCGCUACAUGGACUACCAUGGCUACGGACAGGAAGAGGCGGAGCCGGGGACAGGAUAUGACUUCAGAGCUGCCUCCGGCCACGGGGGCCAAGUCGACCAACUGGCGUGCGUCCGGGAGUUCGCGACCCCGGGCCGUCUCCACGACAACCGGCCGGGGUUCCGUCAGAGGCGUGGGGGGAGAGGGGAGGGGUGCGGUCCGGGUCGUGUGGGUAAAGGGAUACUAUCAUCCUGUCCCCCUCGAUCCCUGGUCCUACUCCAGCCAGAGGUAGCCCUGCCCAGGCUGCAGAGAGAGGAGAGGUUCCCCAGAGGAGGAGGACCAGUGGAGGAGGAGAGGUUCCCCAGAGGAGGAGGACCAGGGGAGGAGGAGCGGUUCCCCAGAGGAGGAGGACUAGGGGAGGAGAAGAGGUUCCCUAGAGGAGGAGGACCAGGGGAGGAGAGGUUCCCCAGAGGAGGAGGACCAGGGGAGGAGAGAUUCCUCAGAGGAGGACCAGGGGAGGAGGAGAGGUUCCCCAGAGGAGGAGGAUCAGGGGAGGAGGAGAGGUUCCCCAGAGGAAGCGGACCAGGGGAGGAGAGGUUCCUCAGAGGAGGAGGACCAGAGGAGGAGGAGAGGUUCCCCAGAGGAGGAGGACCAGGGGAGGAGGAGAGGUUCCCCAGAGGAGGAGGACUAGGGAAGAGAAAGGGUUUCUCCAUGGGCUGUCCCGUUGAGGAGCGUGGUGGAGGGGGUCCAGAUCCCUCCUCUUCCUGUAUAGAGCACCCAGUUCAGAUGGACUACAGACCAGACCUCCUGGACCUCAACCAGAGACCCUCCAACAUCAUCAUGUUACGCAUGCUGCCACCCAACGCUACUGCCAACGAGAUCCGUGCCCAGCUUCAGGACCAGGGGAUUGACCCAACAGAGGUUAUGAUUCGCCUGAUGACAAACAAGUCUUCAGGUGAGACUGAUCUCAUCUCCCCC